rnacentral:misc_RNA from 1 species
AAGUCGUAACAAGGUUUCCGUAGGUGAACCUGCGGAAGGAUCAUUACUGAAUUGUCAACACGAGUUGUUGCUGGUCCUCAAAUGGGGGCAUGUGCACACUCUGUUUGCACAUCCACUCACACCUGUGCACCUCCUGUGGUUCUGUGGCCUGGGGGACUAUGUCCUCCCUGCUGUGGUUCUGCACCUUUACACAUACACACUGUAACAAAGUCUCAUGGAAUGUAUGCCGCGUUUAACGCAAUAUAAUACAACUUUCAGCAACGGAUCUCUUGGCUCUC